rnacentral:rRNA from 1 species
UACGAAGGGGGGCUAGCGUUGUUCGGAAUCACUGGGCGUAAAGCGCACGCAGGCGGAUCGUUAAGUCAGGGGUGAAAUGCCGAGGCUCAACCUCGGAACUGCCUUUGAUACUGGCGAUCUUAGAGUCCGGGAGAGGUGAGUGGAACUCCGAGUGUAGAGGUGAAAUUCGUAGAUAUUCGGAAGAACACCAGUGGCGAAGGCGGCUCACUGGCCCGGUACUGACGCUCAGGUGCGAAAGCGUGGGGAGCAAACAGG